rnacentral:rRNA from 1 species
AGGUAGUAGGCGGGGUAGAGGCCCACCUAGCCGACGAUGGGUAGCCCGACUGAGAGGUCGACCGGCCACAUUGGGACUGAGAUACGGCCCAGACUCCUACGGGAGGCAGCAGUGGGGAAUUUUGCGCAAUGGGGGAAACCCUGACGCAGCAACGCCGCGUGCGGGACGAAGGCCCUCGGGCUGUAAACCGCUUUCAGCAGGGAAGACAUCGACGGUACCUGCAGAAGAAGCUCCGGCUAACUACGUGCCAGCAGCCGCGGUAAUACGUAGGGGGCGAGCGUUAUCCGGAUUCAUUGGGCGUAAAGCGCGCGUAGGCGGCCGCCUAAGCGGAACCUCUAACCCCGGGGCUCAACCUCGGGCCGGGUUCCGGACUGGGCGGCUCGAGUGCGGUAGAGGAGAGCGGAAUUCCCGGUGUAGCGGUGGAAUGCGCAGAUAUCGGGAAGAACACCGAUGGCGAAGGCAGCUCUCUGGGCCGUCACUGACGCUGAGGCGCGAAAGCUGGGGGAGCGAACAGGAUUAGAUACCCUGGUAGUCCCAGCCGUAAACGAUGGACGCUAGGUGUGGGGGGACCUGCCCUCC